GACGAACGCUGGCGGCGUGCUUAACACAUGCAAGUCGAACGGAAAGGCCUGCUUUCCCUUGUGGAUUGCGGGUACUCGAGUGGCGAACGGGUGAGUAACACGUGAGUGAUCUGCCCCCAACUUGGGUAUAAGCCUGGGAAACUGGGUCUAAUUCCCGAUAGGACUGCAGGGUGGUGCCUGUGGUGGAAAACGAUUUUCUAGUGGUUGGGGAUGAGCUCGCGGCCUAUCAGCUUGUUGGUGGGGUAAUGGCCUACCAAGGCGGCGACGGGUAGCCGGCCUGGGAGGGUGGACGGCCACAUUGGGACUGAGAUACGGCCCAGACUCCUACGGGAGGCAGCAGUGGGGAAUAUUGCACAAUGGGCGGAAGCCUGAUGCAGCGACGCCGAGUGGGGGAUGACGGCCUUCGGGUUGUAAACUCCUUUCGACCGCGAGGAAGCCACCUGGUUGGAAGGGUGGUGACGGUAGUGGUAGAAGAAGCACCGGCUAACUACGUG
rnacentral:rRNA from 1 species